rnacentral:tRNA from 1 species
AAGAUUUUAAGUUAAAAUAAACUAAUAGCCUUCAAAGCUUUAUAUAAAAUAUAAUUUUAAAUCUUA